CCUACGGGGGGCAGCAGUGGGGAAUAUUGGACAAUGGGGGCAACCCUGAUCCAGCCAUGCCGCGUGUGUGAAGAAGGCCCUCGGGUUGUAAAGCACUUUCAGUGAGGAAGAAUGCCUGGUGGUUAAUACCCAUCAGGAAAGACAUCACUCACAGAAGAAGCACCGGCUAACUCCGUGCCAGCAGCCGCGGUAAUACGGAGGGUGCGAGCGUUAAUCGGAAUUACUGGGCGUAAAGCGCGCGUAGGUGGCUUGAUAAGCCGGUUGUGAAAGCCCCGGGCUCAACCUGGGAACGGCAUCCGGAACUGUCAAGCUAGAGUGCAGGAGAGGAAGGUAGAAUUCCCGGUGUAGCGGUGAAAUGCGUAGAGAUCGGGAGGAAUACCAGUGGCGAAGGCGGCCUUCUGGACUGACACUGACACUGAGGUGCGAAAGCGUGGGUAGCAAACAGGAUUAGAUACCCUAGUAGUC
rnacentral:rRNA from 1 species